UUCAGGGCAGAUCGCUAUGAAACCUAAGAGGAUUCGAUAUUACAAGGAAGCCAAGAAAGAUAUCCUUCAAUAAUCACUCUUCCAGAAGAAGUUUCAGGUAAAUAGACAAUCUAACUGUACGCAGCAGAGCAGUAGUGAUUCUUGUAAUAAUAAGGUCUCAAAAGAAGUAUCAAGCAGCACUGCAGCAGUAACAAACAAACAAACAAAAAACUCGAUUCUUCUUCCCUGUGGUGGCUCAAGACGAGCUAAUCAGCAGGAUUUCUCAAAAUUGUAGCGGAUCAGGAAAUUAGUGACCAGUUCUGAUUCAAAGUGUUUCUUCAGACUAAAUUCGAAAAUGUACUUGACCUUGGUUUUAAAUGUCGUGUGGCGAGGAUUGGCGAAAGGAGGCUCGACACUCGCCACUCGCCAUGGCGUUUCAUGGCGAUCGCAUCGCGUAUCAGCCGCUCAAAAGGGGUGUUUGAUAGGACGACCAUAAGGAAGCAAAUAAAUAUUGAAGUCAGACCAGGCCAAUUACUGAUGCCACGAACAUGGAUCAUGGAAGAUGGUUACAGCUAACGGGUGAAAAACACAAAUACAUACAGAAGAUCACUUCCCAUGUCCGUAAAGGUUAGUACAAUCUCUAUACUAUUUUAUGUUAUAGUUGCAAAAUAGAAUAACAGAUGGAACGUGAGGGUAGAGUGCUAGGAGUUGGUUUUGAGUACUGAUGGAAAACUUGAAUUUAGAUAAUAGACGGCUCAAACAAAUAUAAAAAAUAGAGUGCCAAAACAUAAUGGCUCUAAACAUAAUGGCUCUACAUUAAUUAAAUCACAAAACUUCGGAAGAGUUCAGGAAUGUCCGGGCAAAGUUAGCAUCAAGUCCAGGACGGAGUUAGACAUAAUUAGACACCAUUUAGAAUCAGAUGGGUGAUGGUGCUUUAAUAGGGCGUCCGGAUGUUCAGACGGUACAGAACUGUAAUGCCUUGCAAACUUAGGACGAUCCAAACCAAGUCAGAUUCAUUCAUUGGAGAUGUUUGGAUGAGAUGUUCAAAAAUAAGGCGACAGGCGGUCCGUACCAUCAACUAUAUUUCACCCGAGAUCGAUCAGAAGCUGUGCAAAUUUAUGGCGGCGGUUUCCAAGAGCAAUCAGAGGACCUUAUCUAUUUGUGAACCUUGGAAAGUAAGGGAUCCUUAUGGAUUUUGGCAUGAGAGAUUAUUCGCGAUCAACUCCGGAGUCCUUCCGAAAAAUAUAUUUGGGAUGUCCACAUCUGGAUCCAGAUAGUAAAAUCUCGAAUCCGUCCAAACUGGAUAUGGAUAUCUGGAUCCGUGUUUUGAAAACAUAUUAAAUAUUGAAUCUUAUUAAUAAUUAUUAAUAUUUAUACAU